rnacentral:lncRNA from 1 species
UCAGAUCCUAACUCGAUCCUUGUCAAAAAUUCAUAACAUCUGAUCACUAUUAACCCCUAUUAAAUCAUCCUGACAUGAUCUCUAAUGAUCUUGAUCAUGAAUUUCUCUUUUGAAGGAUACGAAGAUUCUCUCUCUAUUUUCUCUCUCUUCAUCCAUUUUCUCUCACUAAGAAGACCUACGGACUCUAGUUGUCAUGCUCCGAACCCAAC